CUGUCGACGCCGCCGUCUCUCACCUGUUGGUCGCGUCGCGGUCUUCUAAAGAGCCCUUUACGAUGGGGUCUAAUAAAACAAUUCGACGGCGAUGUGCAGUGCCCUAAGGACCCACGCUAAUUGCCGGUGGACUCGUGCAGUGCUUGUGUUUUUAUUCGUGCAAUAAUAAAUUAAUAAAUGUUAUAAUAAUCAACCCCUCUCCUCCCCCCAUUACUAGCUGUAUUACAAUUAGACAACAAACUCUUGCUCAAUUUUUUGCUAGUCGUGCCGUAAUAAUAAUUAUCUCUUCCAUUUUUAAAAAAAUUAGAUUUUAAAGCUACGGGCGCAUCUUUAAAAAAGAAAAUUGCAACGAUUCUUAGAGGUUUGCUGCAAAUAGAAAAAGAAAGUUUUGCGGUUGACGUAAAAUUUUGUCCCGAAAUAUCUGCGCGAAGAGGUCAAUAAAAUCGGAAGUCAAAAAUAUUUGCGAUUUCAUUGACGCUCUGAAUUUUUUAGGUAAACUUAGUCGCACUCCCACAAAUUGACGAUCGCUAAUAAGUGCUAAUUAAACGGAUAAGUUCAAACUGUGCUAAUUUUGGACAUCGGCCGUCGUCGAUGAUGAUUGCAAAUUUUUGGCUUGCUUGCCCACUCGUUUGGUAAUACUGAUAAUAUAUAUAACGACCUUUGUGUAUUUCGGAAGCUUUUGUGCGCGUCUUUAGUGUUAAUUAAUCUUCGCAAUGUGCAUCGGGAGUGUGCCGCCGCGAGUUGACAAAACGGCGCGUUCUAGCGGUCGUGUUUGAUUUAUACGCAAAAAUUGGUCUUGUAAUGCUCUUUAGCCAUGACGAUGUGGCAGAGCGGGAUGGGGGGGCACGGGGGGAAAAACAACGCUUGGAUGAAGCUCAUGGGUAUUGUCACACACCACAAGGGACGCCAUCAUGAUUCAGGUCCUGCAUCAACCGAUAGAACACUCAGCCAGUCGCUGCCCAAGCUCAGCAGCCAGGACGAGGACGGGCACACCCCCCACUCCCAGUUUACUGGUGUGGCCCAUUUCGAGCCCAUCCCGCACGACCACGAUUUUUGUGAAAGGGUCGUUAUAAACGUAAGCGGCCUCCGGUUCGAAACGCAGCUUCGGACUUUAAACCAAUUUCCUGACACGCUGUUAGGCGACCCGGCCCGCCGAAUUCGGUACUUCGACCCGCUGCGGAACGAGUACUUCUUUGACCGCAACCGGCCUUGCUUCGACGCCAUCCUCUACUAUUACCAGAGCGGCGGUCGACUUCGGCGACCCGUCAACGUGCCACUAGAUGUAUUCUCGGAGGAGAUCAAGUUCUACGAGCUCGGCGAGCUGGCCAUCAACAAGUUUCGGGAGGACGAGGGUUUCAUUAAGGAGGAAGAGAAGCCGUUGCCUUCUCACGAAUUCCAGCGUAACGUGUGGUUGCUGUUCGAAUAUCCCGAGUCUUCGCAAGCAGCACGUGUGGUUGCUAUUAUAUCCGUAUUCGUCAUUCUACUGUCCAUCGUCAUAUUCUGCCUGGAGACGCUGCCCGAAUUCAAGCACUACAAGGUGUACAAUACGACGGCGAACCGCACAAAGAUCGAGGAGGAUGAGGUUCCCGACAUUACGGAUCCAUUCUUCCUCAUCGAAACUAUUUGUAUUAUUUGGUUUACAUUCGAGCUGACUGUGCGCUUCCUCGCGUGCCCCAAUAAGCUCAACUUCUUCCGGGACGUAAUGAACAUGAUCGACAUCAUCGCCAUCAUUCCUUAUUUCAUCACCCUGGCCACGGUGGUCGCCGAAGAAGAAGAUACCUUGAACUUACCGCGCGCUCCGGUCUCCCCUCAAGAUAAAAGCACCAACCAAGCCAUGUCGUUGGCGAUUCUCCGCGUUAUUAGGCUUGUCCGAGUCUUCCGAAUAUUUAAGCUCAGUCGACACAGCAAGGGGCUACAGAUCCUCGGACGAACGCUUAAGGCCAGCAUGCGCGAGCUCGGCCUCCUUAUAUUCUUCCUUUUUAUCGGUGUCGUGCUGUUUUCGAGUGCCGUCUACUUCGCCGAGGCGGGCUCCGAGCAGUCCUUCUUUAAAUCCAUCCCAGACGCGUUCUGGUGGGCCGUGGUGACGAUGACCACCGUUGGCUACGGCGACAUGACGUAUGAUGCCCGUCGGAGUAUGGGGGAAGAUUGUGGGUUCCUUAUGUGCCAUCGCCGGUGUGCUAACCAUCGCCUUGCCGGUGCCCGUCAUAGUCUCCAACUUCAACUACUUCUACCAUCGCGAGACGGAUCAGGAGGAGAUGCAAUCGCAGAACUUCAACCACGUGACCAGCUGUCCCUACCUACCGGGCACCCUCGGCCAGCACAUGAAGAAGAGCUCCCUCAGCGAAUCCUCGUCCGACCUCGUCGAUCUCGAAGAAGGUCUACUGGUGACUAGAGAUCAGCUCGCGCGAAAGCAGAACUGCAAUCCACGACAUAAUAACAACAUUAACGCCAUGAGCAUCGAGACUGACGUCUGACUACGAGUGACGGAUGCGCUGCGCCCAUCAAGGCUGCCCUGUCGUCGUCAACGCGCCCCACCGUCCCUCUUGCCAAAGUGUGUGCGCGCAGUGCUCCGGACGCUCUCCGAAUUACUACGAUAUUAUCCAAUUUACAGUACUUUCUUUUCUACUACGGUUGUUUUUGGGUGAGAUAUCCUGCCAAAAUAAAUUUAAAAAAAAAAACCAUCGCCGCGACGCGAUGAACGAAUGCUGUGUAGUGCUCACACCGAACUUUCUUAGUUCAGCACUGUUUUAAGUGCUUGUAUUUUUGGGCUGUGUGAAGCUUACCUAGAGUUGGAUUAGCUUUAGCCCUUGUUACUACAUAUCCACCCACCGUUAUGCCGCGUGCGACCGCCGCGUCCCGACCCCGCUGCUUCCGGCUUGUAGCUCCUUCGUUCGACAUAUCCUAGGCCAGGCGAUCGUGGCAACACUGCGAGGUCCGGGACAUUUCUGAUGGCCGGCCCGCGACCAGCCGCGCUCGCUUUUCGCAAUAUUUAAUACAACUACUUAAAUCGAAUUUGAAGCUACUACUAAAUAAUAAUCAUUACUGUGUAGAUAAAUCAAUAAUUAAAC